rnacentral:rRNA from 1 species
CACGUAGGGUGCGAGCGUUGUCCGGAAUUAUUGGGCGUAAAGAGCUCGUAGGCGGUGUGUCGCGUCGGCCGUGAAAACCUGCAGCUUAACUGUGGGCUUGCGGUCGAUACGGGCAUCACUGGAGUUCGGCAGGGGAGACUGGAAUUCCUGGUGUAGCGGUGAAAUGCGUAGAUAUCGGGAGGAAUACCAGUGGCGAAGGCGGCCUUCUGGACGGAUACUGACGCUGAGGGCGCGAAAAGCCAGGGGGAGCAAACGGG